rnacentral:rRNA from 1 species
GGGUGCUCGAGUGGCGAACGGGCGAGUAACACGUGAGUAACCUGCCCUUGACUUUGGGAUAACUUCAGGAAACUGGGGCUAAUACCGGAUAGGAGCUCCUGCUGCAUGGUGGGGGUUGGAAAGUUUCGGCGGUUGGGGAUGGACUCGCGGCUUAUCAGCUUGUUGGUGGGGUAGUGGCUUACCAAGGCUUUGACGGGUAGCCGGCCUGAGAGGGUGACCGGCCACAUUGGGACUGAGAUACGGCCCAG